rnacentral:rRNA from 1 species
GCGCGAGGAUGGGGCUGCGUCCCAUCAGGCAGUUGGUGGGGUAAUGGCCCACCAAACCUAUAACGGGUACGGGCCGUGAGAGCGGGAGCCCGGAGAUGGGCACUGAGACAAGGGCCCAGGCUCUACGGAGCGCACCAAGCGCGAAACCUUCGCAAUGCGGGAAACCGUGACGGGGCCAUCCCGAGUGCAGGCUGCUGAGGCCUGCUUUUGCCCAGUGUAAGAAGCUGGGCGAAUAAGUGGGGGGCAAGACUGGUGUCAGCCGCCGCGGUAAUACCAGCUCCACGAGUGGUCAGGACGGUUAUUGGGCCUAAAGCGUCCGUAACCGGCCCGGUAAGUUUAUGGUGAAAUCCGGCAUCUCAAGUGUCGGAGCGCUGUAAAUACUGCCGGGCUAGGGAGCGGGAGAGGCCGAGGGUACCUCCGGGGUAGGGGCGAAAUCCUAUAAUCCCGGAGUGACGACCAGUGGCGAAAGCGCUCGGCUAGAACGCGUCCGACGGUGAGGGACGAAAGCUGGGGUAGCAAACCGGAUUAGAUACCCGGGUAGUCCCAGCCGUAAACUAUGCGGGCUAGUUGUCGGAACGGCUUAGGGCCGCUCCGGUAACGCAGGGAAGCCAUUAAGCCCGCCGCCUGGGGAGUACGACCGCAAGGUUGAAACUUAAAGGAAUUGGCGGGGGAGCACCACAAGGGGUGAAGCUUGCGGCUCAA